UGCCCCAUCCUGCCGCUGGGAACCGGCGGGUCGGUAAGCCCAUGACUCUGCGUGGACGAAAUCCGAGACGCGUGGUUUCUAAGCCCCUCCUAUGGCUUCGGAAAAUUUCCGUUCUCAGCCUCCUUGAGAAUCACGGUAUGUGUGGCAGAGUGCUGCGCGUGGCUGUCGCCAAGGACGGCUUCGGAGUCAGGUUGGCCCGACUGUCAUCGUCGCCCGUCCCUUUCACGCCUGCCGAAGUCACCCAGCCAGCAAGUGUGGCUCCUGCCUGAGCCGGACCCAGGUUGAAUGAAGGUGAGGCCUGCACUCGGCCAGUACCUGUGGAACUGGGAUGAAUGGCCCCUUAUCCAGGUCAACUGACCCUCCUUGACUAACGGCUCCAUGGAGCUCCUUUCUGCUUGCUAGAUGAGAUGCUGCCCGAUUCAUGAACUGUUCAAUAAAGCCAAUUUGGUUUUUCAAUUA